UACGUAGGGUGCGAGCGUUAAUCGGAAUUACUGGGCGUAAAGCGUGCGUAGGCGGUUCUCCAAGUCCGCUGUGAAAGCCCCGGGCUCAACCUGGGAAUGGCAGUGGAAACUAGGGGACUGGAAUCUGGCAGAGGGGGGUGGAAUGCCGCGUGUAGCAGUGAAAUGCGUAGAGAUGCGGCGGAACACCGAUGGCGAAGGCAGCCCCCUGGGCUGAGAUUGACGCUCAGGCACGAAAGCGUGGGGAGCAAACAGG
rnacentral:rRNA from 1 species